UUGACUAUUUUAGAAGCGUAUUCAGAUACCAAGUAAACAAAGAGCCUAGUGUAGACCUUUGGCGGACGCAGCAAGGCUGGCAGCCCGCCGAAGCAACAGUUUCAGGUUCGCGUCGGGUCUGAGUUUUUACUCAAUUCUGUAAUGAUCCCUCCGCUGGUUCACCAACGGAGA
rnacentral:misc_RNA from 1 species